UGUCUGCCACGUGGAUCAAUAAAGUUUCUGAGACGUACCUUUUCAAAGUCCCACGGUUUUUGGAUCUUUUCGAGAGCUCCAGAGCUUUCUUCACGGAGUACCCAAAAAAUUGUAAGAUAGCUUUCCCCAAUUCCAUGAAAGCUUCUAUCGACUUUUGGCUCAAAUAAAUAUUUGGAUCCCAUUCAUAAAUUAUAAACCGAAUUACGUUGAAUCAUGAAAAUAAAAUCAACAUUAGUGUUAAUACCAACAAAUCAAUUCAAUCGAUUGGUAGCAAAAACCUGUUUAAUAUCCCUUUAUUUACUAAACACGUAUCAAGAUUCAUAUAGAAGAGAUGAAGGCAAUCAACCAUUGCUAAUGGCCUCGUUUCAGGACCAUCUUACACAACAAAGAUGACUCGUGAUCAUGGGGCUAGAGAUGUUACGUGGCAACAGCGCGGGAUAGUCGGAAUGAUAUCGAGGUACAUCAUCAGCUACUUGAAACCGUAGGGAUCAUCUUCAUAUGGAUUGAGCCAGCCUUCUGAGAAGAGAUCUCCAAUGUUGGACGGACCCUGUUGGGUAGCUCCCAUGGC
rnacentral:lncRNA from 1 species